rnacentral:ncRNA from 1 species
AUUAAUUCUAUGAUGAGAAGAGUAAGUUCCCCGUAGUUUUCAGAGAGAGGAUAAAGAAGCUGAAAUUAUCCUUAAAUGAAAGGGUACUGAAGACCACCUCAGAGAGGCUCUAAUAAAGCCCGGUAAUUCCGUUAUAAUUUUUAAGAGAAUCAUUUAUAUGAUUAAUUUGGGUGGAACCGCGGGAGAAGUAUGCACUCUCGUCCCAUAU